GCCAGCGUGGUGCACUGGUUUGAGUCAUGGACUUCAGCUCUGGCGAGCAGGGUUCGAAUCCCAGCUCUGUCA